rnacentral:rRNA from 1 species
ACGGGUGAGUAACACGUGAGUAACCUGCCCUUGACUCUGGGAUAAGCCUGGGAAACUGGGUCUAAUACCGGAUACGACCAUCUGGCGCAUGUCAUGGUGGUGGAAAGCUUUUGUGGUUUUGGAUGGACUCGCGGCCUAUCAGCUUGUUGGUGGGGUAAUGGCCUACCAAGGCGACGACGGGUAGCCGGCCUGAGAGGGUGACCGGCCACACUGGGACUGAGACACGGCCCAGACUCCUACGGGAGGCAGCAGUGGGGAAUAUUGCACAAUGGGCGCAAGCCUGAUGCAGCGACGCCGCGUGAGGGAUGACGGCCUUCGGGUUGUAAACCUCUUUCAGUAGGGAAGAAGCGAAAGUGACGGUACCUGCAGAAGAAGCGCCGGCUAACUACGUGCCAGCAGCCGCGGUAAUACGUAGGGCGCAAGCGUUAUCCGGAAUUAUUGGGCGUAAAGAGCUCGUAGGCGGUUUGUCGCGUCUGCUGUGAAAGACCGGGGCUCAACUCCGGUUCUGCAGUGGGUACGGGCAGACUAGAGUGCAGUAGGGGAGACUGGAAUUCCUGGUGUAGCGGUGAAAUGCGCAGA